rnacentral:rRNA from 1 species
ACACUGUACGAGUUUGAUCAUGGCUCAGAAUGAACGCUGGCGGCAGGCCUAACACAUGCAAGUCGAACGGGUCCUUCGGGACUAGUGGCGGACGGGUGAGUAACGCGUGGGAACAUACCCAAAGGUACGGAAUAGCCUCGGGAAACUGAGAGUAAUACCGUAUGUGCCCUUCGGGGGAAAGAUUUAUCGCCUUUGGAUUGGCCCGCGUUGGAUUAGGUAGUUGGUGGGGUAAUGGCCUACCAAGCCGACGAUCCAUAGCUGGUUUGAGAGGAUGAUCAGCCACACUGGGACUGAGACACGGCCCAGACUCCUACGGGAGGCAGCAGUGGGGAAUCUUAGACAAUGGGGGAAACCCUGAUCUAGCCAUGCCGCGUGAUCGAUGAAGGCCUUAGGGUUGUAAAGAUCUUUCAGAUGGGAAGAUAAUGACGGUACCAUCAGAAGAAGCCCCGGCUAACUCCGUG